GGGCCUCUAGCUCAAUGGGUAGAGCAGCUGACUUUUAAUCAGCGGGUUGUGGGUUCGAGUCCCACGGGGCUCA
rnacentral:tRNA from 1 species